rnacentral:rRNA from 1 species
AGUGAACGCUGGCGGUAGGCCUAACACAUGCAAGUCGAACGGCAGCACAGUAAGAGCUUGCUCUUACGGGUGGCGAGUGGCGGACGGGUGAGGAAUACAUCGGAAUCUACUUUUUCGUGGGGGAUAACGUAGGGAAACUUACGCUAAUACCGCAUACGACCUACGGGUGAAAGCAGGGGAUCUUCGGACCUUGCGCGAUUGAAUGAGCCGAUGUCGGAUUAGCUAGUUGGCGGGGUAAAGGCCCACCAAGGCGACGAUCCGUAGCUGGUCUGAGAGGAUGAUCAGCCACACUGGAACUGAGACACGGUCAAGACUCCUACGGGAGGCAGCAGUGGGGAAUAUUGGACAAUGGGCGCAAGCCUGAUCCAGCCAUACCGCGUGGGUGAAGAAGGCCUUCGGGUUGUAAAGCCCUUUUGUUGGGAAAGAAAAGCAGCAGGUUAAUACCCCGCUGUUCUGACGGUACCCAAAGAAUGAGCACCGGCUAACUUCGUG